AGUGAACGCUGGCGGUAGGCCUAACACAUGCAAGUCGAACGGCAGCACAGUAAGAGCUUGCUCUUACGGGUGGCGAGUGGCGGACGGGUGAGGAAUACAUCGGAAUCUACUUUUUCGGGGGGGAUAACGUAGGGAAACUUACGCCAAUACCGCAUACGACCUACGGGGGAAAGCAGGGGAUCGUCGGACCUUGCGCGGAUGAAUGAGCCGAUGACGGAUUAGCUAGUUGGCGGGGUAAAGGCCCACCAAGGCGACGAUCCGUAGCUGGUCUGAGAGGACGGUCGGCCGCACUGGAACUGAGCCACGGUCCAGGCUCCUACGGGAGGCAGCAGUGGGGAAUAUUGGACAAUGGGCGCAAGCCUGAUCCAGCCAUACCGCGUGGGUGAAGAAGGCCUUCGGGUUGUAAAGCCCUUUUGUUGGGAAAGAAAAGCAGCAGGUUAAUACCCCGCUGUUCUGACGGUACCCAAAGAAUAAGCACCGGCUAACUUCGUG
rnacentral:rRNA from 1 species